GACGAACGCUGGCGGCGUGCUUAACACAUGUAAGUCGAACGGAAAGGCCCUGCUUUUGUGGGGUGCUCGAGUGGCGAACGGGUGAGUAACACGUGAGUAACCUGCCCUUGACUUUGGGAUAACUUCAGGAAACUGGGGCUAAUACCGGAUAGGAGCUCCUGCUGCAUGGUGGGGGUUGGAAAGUUUCGGCGGUUGGGGAUGGACUCGCGGCUUAUCAGCUUGUUGGUGUGGUAGUGGCUUACCAAGGCUUUGACGGGUAGCCGGCCUGAGAGGGUGACCGGCCACAUUGGGACUGAGAUACGGCCCAGACUCCUACGGGAGGCAGCAGUGGGGAAUAUUGCACAAUGGGCGGAAGCCUGAUGCAGCAACGCCGCGUGCGGGAUGACGGCCUUCGGGUUGUAAACCGCUUUCGCCUGUGACGAAGCGUGAGUGACGGUAAUGGGUAAAGAAGCACCGGCUAACUACGUG
rnacentral:rRNA from 1 species